CUUGUCUCAAAGAUUAAGCCAUGCAUGUCUAAGUAUAAGCCUUUACACGGUGAGACUGCGAAUGGCUCAUUAAAUCAGAAACUGUUUAUUUGAUAGUGCCUACUACUUGGAUAACCGUAGUAAUUCUAGAGCUAAUACAUGCGCAAAUACCCAACUGCUUGUCGGGCGGGUAGCAUUUAUUAGAUUGAAACCAAUGCAGUCUUCGGGCUGGUAUUGUGUUGAGUCAUAAUAACUGUGCGGACCGCAUUUCUGCGGUAAAUCGAUUGAGUUUCUGCCCUAUCAGCUUUGGAUGGUAGGAUAUGGG
rnacentral:rRNA from 1 species